GAUGAAGAACGUAGUGAAAUGCGAUAAGUAAUGUGAAUUGCAGAAUUCAGUGAAUCAUCGAAUCUUUGAACGCACAUUGCGCCCGCCAGUAUUCUGGCGGGCAUGCCUGUUCGAGCGUCAUUUCAACCAUCAAGCCCCAGGCUUGUGUUGGGGACCUGCGGCUGCCGCAGGCCCUGAAAACCAGUGGCGGGCUCGCUGUCACACCGGGCGUAGUAGAUUUUAUCUCGCUCAGGGCGUGCUGCGGGUUCCGGCCGUUAAACCACCUUCAUAACCCAAGGUUGACCUCGGAUCAGGUAGGAAGACCCGCUGAACUUAAGCAUAUCAAUAAGCGGAGGA
rnacentral:misc_RNA from 1 species